rnacentral:rRNA from 1 species
AUACGUAGGGGGCGAGCGUUGUCCGGAAUGAUUGGGCGUAAAGGGCGCGUAGGCGGCCCGGUAAGUCUGGAGUGAAAGUCCUGUUUUUAAGAUGGGAAUUGCUUUGGAUACUGUCGGGCUUGAGUGCAGGAGAGGUAAGUGGAAUUCCCAGUGUAGCGGUGAAAUGCGUAGAGAUUGGGAGGAACACCAGUGGCGAAGGCGACUUACUGGACUGUAACUGACGCUGAGGCGCGAAAGUGUGGGGAGCAAACAGGAUUAGAUACCCUGGUAGUCCACACUGUAAACGAUGAAUGCUAGGUGUAGGGGGUGUCGACCCCUUCUGUGCCGCAGUCAACACAAUAAGCAUUCCGCCUGGGGAGUACGGCCGCAAGGUUGAAACUCAAAUGAAUUGACGGG